rnacentral:rRNA from 1 species
CCUACGUGAGGCAGCAGUGGGGAAUAUUGCACAAUGGGGGAAACCCUGAUGCAGCGACGCCGCGUGAGUGAAGAAGUAAUUCGUUAUGUAAAGCUCUAUCAGCAGGGAAGAAAAGGACGGUACCUGAGUAAGAAGCCCCGGCUAACUACGUGCCAGCAGCCGCGGUAAUACGUAGGGGGCAAGCGUUAUCCGGAUUUACUGGGUGUAAAGGGAGCGUAGACGGCAGUGCAAGUCUGGAGUGAAAGGCGGGGGCUCAACCCCCGGACUGCUCUGGAAACUGUACGGCUGGAGUGCAGGAGAGGUAAGUGGAAUUCCUAGUGUAGCGGUGAAAUGCGUAGAUAUUAGGAGGAACACCAGUGGCGAAGGCGGCUUACUGGACUGUAACUGACGUUGAGGCUCGAAAGCGUGGGGAGCAAACAGGAUUAGAUACCCGAGUAGUC